rnacentral:rRNA from 1 species
UACGGAGGGAGCUAGCGUUGUUCGGAAUUACUGGGCGUAAAGCGCGCGUAGGCGGCUUUGUAAGUUAGAGGUGAAAGCCCGGAGCUCAACUCCGGAACUGCCUUUAAAACUGCAUCGCUUGAAUCCAGGAGAGGUGAGUGGAAUUCCGAGUGUAGAGGUGAAAUUCGUAGAUAUUCGGAAGAACACCAGUGGCGAAGGGCGGC